rnacentral:rRNA from 1 species
UGGGGAAUUGUUCGCAAUGGGCGCAAGCCUGACGACGCAACGCCGCGUGGAGGAUGAAGACCUUCGGGUCGUAAACUCCUUUCGACCGAGAUGAACACCUGCGGGGAUAAUACUCCCGCAGGCUGACAGUAUCGAGGGAAGCAGCCCCGGCUAACUCCGUGCCAGCAGCCGCGGUAAUACGGGGGGGGCAAGCGUUGUUCGGAAUUACUGGGCGUAAAGGGUUCGUAGGUGGUCAACUAAGUCAGACGUGAAAUCCCUCAGCUUAACUGGGGAACUGCGUCUGAUACUGGUUGGCUUGAGUGCAGGAGAGGAACGCGGAAUUCCAGGUGUAGCGGUGAAAUGCGUAGAUAUCUGGAGGAACACCGGUGGCGAAGGCGGCGUUCUGGACUGCAACUGACACUGAUGAACGAAAGCCAGGGGAGCAAACGGGAUUAGAUACCCCUGUAGUCC